GUGGGUAUAGCUCAGUGGUAGAGCAAAUGCUUAACAUGUAUGAGGUCCUGGCUUUGAUCCCCAGUACCUCCA
rnacentral:tRNA from 1 species